rnacentral:misc_RNA from 1 species
ACAGAAGUGGCUAUAAAAGAGAUCGUUACGGCUCGGCUUAACAAUAAGCUUCAGGAGAGUCUAAAGUCGGAAAUUGUAAUUUUGCAGAAGAUCAAUCAUCCUAAUAUUAUUCGCCUGCACGACAUGAUCGAGGAGGUGGGCAAAAUAUAUAUUGUUCUGGAGUACUGCAGAGGAGGAGAUCUUUCUAUGUACAUUCAACAAAGCCAAGGGAGAAUUCCAGAAGCAACUGCGAAACAUUUUAUGCAGCAACUUGCAUCUGGUCUAAAAAUCCUUCGUGACAACAAUCUAA